GCAGGUAUGGCUGGCCCAGCUCUUCAUCUCUCCCAGGCAAGUCCAGACUGGAGGGCCUUGUUUUAGGACUGCAGCUCUGCUUGGAAAUGAGAUCUGGAGAAAAGUCCCAGAAAAGAAAGAAAGCCUCUCUUCCUGGGAGACCGUCAGCUUUAAAUCACCCAGUGGAAUUUAAAGGCCCAGCUUGACACCCUUGAAGCAGCUGCAAAUAAAGGAAAUAUAUGCCCACCGACCCCUAGAACAGAUGUGCUGACCUGGACAACGUAACGACCACACCCAAGUUCCAACGCUAUUAACGUACAUGUCUCCGAAGGGUAACUACCCUCAGCACGCCUGCAGCCACUUCCUACUUCACUUCUUGUAUAAAUCCUGACUAAAACUUGGGGAGUGGGGAAUUGGUUCUUUCGGACAGGAGUCCACCUUUUCCCCACGUUGCAGGCUUCCUCAAAAUAAAGCUACUUUUCCUUUACCCAA